rnacentral:rRNA from 1 species
CGGACGAGAAGCUUGCUUCUCUGAUGUUAGCGGCGGACGGGUGAGUAACACGUGGAUAACCUACCCAUAAGACUGGGAUAACUUCGGGAAACCGGAGCUAAUACCGGAUAAUAUUUUGAACCGCAUGGUUCAAAAGUGAAAGACGGUCUUGCUGUCACUUAUAGAUGGAUCCGCGCUGCAUUAGCUAGUUGGUAAGGUAACGGCUUACCAAGGCAACGAUGCAUAGCCGACCUGAGAGGGUGAUCGGCCACACUGGAACUGAGACACGGUCCAGACUCCUACGGGAGGCAGCAGUAGGGAAUCUUCCGCAAUGGGCGAAAGCCUGACGGAGCAACGCCGCGUGAGUGAUGAAGGUCUUCGGAUCGUAAAACUCUGUUAUUAGGGAAGAACAUAUGUGUAAGUAACUGUGCACAUCUUGACGGUACCUAAUCAGAAAGCCACGGCUAACUACGUGCCAGCAGCCGCGGUAAUACGUAGGUGGCAAGCGUUAUCCGGAAUUAUUGGGCGUAAAGCGCGCGUAGGCGGUUUUUUAAGUCUGAUGUGAAAGCCCACGGCUCAACCGUGGAGGGUCAUUGGAAACUGGAAAACUUGAGUGCAGAAGAGGAAAGUGGAAUUCCAUGUGUAGCGGUGAAAUGCGCAGAGAUAUGGAGGAACACCAGUGGCGAAGGCGACUUUCUGGUCUGUAACUGACGCUGAUGUGCGAAAGCGUGGGGAUCAAACAGGAU